GACGUAGGAGGCGAGCGUUGUCCGGAUUCAUUGGGCGUAAAGAGCACGCAGGCGGUUCGAUAAGUCGGGUGUGAAAACUCCAGGCUCAACCUGGAGACGCCACUCGAUACUGUCGUGACUAGAGUCCGGUAGGGGACCACGGAAUACAUGGUGUAGCGGUGAAAUGCGCAGAUAUCAUGUGGAACACCGGUGGCGAAGGCGGUGGUCUGGGCCGGAACUGACGCUGUAGAGCGAAAGCGUGGGGAGCGAACAGG
rnacentral:rRNA from 1 species